CUCCAAUAUGGAAUAAUUCUAUUCAUUAUCUCAGAAGUAUUCUUUUUUGAUGGUUUCUUCUGGGCAUUCUACCACUCUAGUCUAGCCCCGGUCCCAGAAUUAGGGGGACGCUGACCCCCAACAGGCAUUUUUCCCCUCUACUCCUUAGAAGUCCUCUCCUAAAUACAUCUGUACUUUUUGCAUCAGGAGUUUCAAAUACUUGGGCUCACCACAGACAGAUAGAAGGUAGUCAAAAGCAGAUACUUCAAGCACUAUCCAUCACAAUUGCCUUAGGUAUUUACUUUACCUUUCUACAAGUCUAGGAAUAUUUCAAGGCCCCCUUUACUAUCGCUGAUGGGCUCUACGGCUCAACAUUCUUUACAGACACAGGCUUUCGCGGAUUUCACAUUAUUAUUGGAUCAACAUUUCUCACUGUCUCCUCUGCCAAUUAAAAUUCCACUUUACAUCCAACCACCGCUUUCCCUUUGAAGCCGCUGCCUGGUAUUGACACUUCGUAGAUGUAGUAUGACUAUUAUUAUACGUCUCUAUCUCCUGAUGAGGA
rnacentral:lncRNA from 1 species